rnacentral:rRNA from 1 species
UCCUUAGAUGUUCUGGGCCGCACGCGCGCUACACUGACGAAUGCAACGAGCUUAUAACCUUGGCCGAAAGGUCUGGGUAAUCUCCAAAUUUCGUCGUGAUGGGGAUAGAUUAUUGCAAUUAUUAAUCUUCAACGAGGAAUGCCUAGUAAGCGCAAGUCAUCAGCUUGCGUUGAUUACGUCCCUGCCCUUUGUACACACCGCCCGUCGCUCCUACCGAUUGAAUGGUCCGGUGAAGCGUUCGGACCGUGGCCUUUGGACGGUUCGCCGUCUGUUGGCUGCGGGAAGUUCGUUAAACCUUAUCAUUUAGAGGAAGGUGAAGUCGUAACA